rnacentral:rRNA from 1 species
UACAGAGGGUGCGAGCGUUGUCCGGAAUCACUGGGCGUAAAGGGCGCGUAGGUGGUGGCUUAAGCGUGCGGUGAAAGCUCGGGGCUCAACUCCGAGUCGGCCGUGCGAACUGGGCUCACUGGAGCAUAGUAGAGGCAGGUGGAAUUCCGGGUGUAGCGGUGGAAUGCGUAGAGAUCCGGAAGAACACCGGUGGCGAAGGCGGCCUGCUGGGCUAUGGCUGACACUGAGGAGCGAAAGCGUGGGGAGCGAACAGG